rnacentral:rRNA from 4 species
UCUAAGUAUAAGCAAUUAUACAGCGAAACUGCGAAUGGCUCAUUAUAUAAGUUAUCGUUUAUUUGAUAAUACCUUACUACUUGGAUAACCGUGGUAAUUCUAGAGCUAAUACAUGCUAAAAAUCCCGACUUCGGAAGGGUUGUAUUUAUUAGAUUAAAAACCAAUGCCCUUCGGGGCUCUCUGGUGAAUCAUGAUAACUAGUCGAAUCGACAGGCCUUGUGCCGGCGAUGGCUCAUUCAAAUUUCUUCCCUAUCAACUUUCGAUGUUUGGGUAUUGGCCAAACAUGGUGGCAACGGGUAACGGAGGGUUAGGGCUCGACCCCGGAGAAGGAGCCUGAGAAACGGCUACUACAUCCAAGGAAGGCAGCAGGCGCGCAAAUUACCCAAUCCCGACACGGGGAGGUAGUGACAAUAAAUACUGAUACAGGGCUCUUUUGGGUCUUGUAAUCGGAAUGAGUACAAUUUAAAUCCCUUAACGAGGAACAAUUGGAGGGCAAGUCUGGUGCCAGCAGCCGCGGUAAUUCCAGCUCCAAUAGCGUAUAUUAAAGUUGUUGUGGUUAAAAAGCUCGUAGUUGAACCUUGGGCCUGGCUGGCCGGUCCGCCUCACCGCGUGCACUGGUCCGGCCGGGCCUUUCCCUCUGCGGAACCCCAUGCCCUUCACUGGGCGUGGCGGGGAAACAGGACUUUUACUUUGAAAAAAUUAGAGUGCUCAAGGCAGGCCUAUGCUCGAAUACAUUAGCAUGGAAUAAUGAAAUAGGACGUUGCGGUUCUAUUUUGUUGGUUUCUAGGACCGCCGUAAUGAUUAAUAGGGACAGUCGGGGGCAUCAGUAUUCAAUUGUCAGAGGUGAAAUUCUUGGAUUUAUUGAAGACUAACUACUGCGAAAGCAUUUGCCAAGGAUGUUUUCAUUAAUCAGGAACGAAAGUUAGGGGAUCGAAGACGAUCAGAUACCGUCGUAGUCUUAACCAUAAACUAUGCCGACUAGGGAUCGGACGAUGUUAUAUUUUUUGACGCGUUCGGCACCUUACGAGAAAUCAAAGUGCUUGGGCUCCAGGGGGAGUAUGGUCGCAAGGCUGAAACUUAAAGGAAUUG